rnacentral:rRNA from 1 species
UACGUAGGGUGCAAGCGUUGUCCGGAUUUAUUGGGUUUAAAGGGUGCGCAGGCGGCCUAUUAAGUUCGUGGUGAAAUCGUUCGGCUUAACCGAAUACCCGCCAUGGAUACUGGUAGGCUUGAGUAUGUCUGAGGGAGCUGGAAUGCGUGGUGUAGCGGUGAAAUGCAUAGAUAUCACGCAGAACACCUAUUGCGAAGGCA